AGUGAACGCUGGCGGUAGGCCUAACACAUGCAAGUCGAACGGCAGCACAGAAAGAGCCUGCUCUCACGGGUGGCGCGUGGCGGCUGGGUGCGGUAAACAUCCGAAUCUACUUUUCCGCGGGGGACAACGUAGGGACACCUUUGCCAAUACCGCAUACGACCAACCUGCGAAAGCAGGGGCACUUUGGACAUUGCGCGAGCCAAUGCGUCGUUGCCGGUUUAGCUAGCCGGCGGGGUAACGGCCCCCCAAGGCGACGAUCCGUAGCUGGUCUGAGAGGAUGAUCAGCCACACUGGAACUGAGACACGGUCCAGACUCCUACGGGAGGCAGCAGUGGGGAAUAUUGGACAAUGGGCGCAAGCCUGAUCCAGCCAUACCGCGUGGGUGAAGAAGGCCUUCGGGUUGUAAAGCCCUUUUGUUGGGAAAGAAAAGCAGCAGGUUAAUACCCCGCUGUUCUGACGGUACCCAAAGAAUAAGCACCGGCUAACUUCGUG
rnacentral:rRNA from 1 species